rnacentral:rRNA from 1 species
UCCGCUGAGGAUGGCUUUUCCUCGGUGUAACUAGCCGGGGGAAUAAGGAGAGGGCAAGACUGGUGUCAGCCGCCGCGGUAAUACCAGCUCUCCGAGUGGUAGGGAUGAUUAUUGGGCUUAAAGCGUCCGUAGCCAGCUUAGCAAGCUUCCUGUUAAACUCAGCGACCUAAUCGUUGAAUCGCGGGAAAUACUACUAGGCUAGGAGGCGGGAGAGGUCGACGGUACUUCCGGGGUAGGGGUGAAAUCCUAUAAUCCCGGGAGGACCACCAGUGGCGAAGGCUGUCGA